AAAAGGGUGGGGCUGCUGCAUACUUACAGAGCAUGCGCAAAACAGCAAACGGUUGUAUGGUGUGUCUUUGUUCAAGUUUAAGUAUUCAGCCAUCACGGCCAAUGAAGCAGAUAUCAAGAGUGAAUGCAAAACACUGGAGGAGGAAGCAGAGAGUAUAGUCAUUGUGGAUUACAAGUUGAUCGGUUUUGAGUAUGGUGCUCCUGUGGGAGUGUCCCGUCCGAGCAACUAUAGGGAUAGGUUGCUCAUG